rnacentral:tRNA from 1 species
GGAGUUGUGGCUCAAUGGUAGAGUGCUAUGCCUCACAUGUGUGAGGCUCUAGGUUCGAUCCUUAGCACUACA